CUCACUUUCUGCAUAUGUUAUCUUUUUUUCUCUUCCAGAUCUAGCCUGCACUGUCCAGGUUGUAUGCUUUUGUUGAUAUUUCUGCCAGGAUGUUCUACAAUACGGCUACUCGGAAGUAGAGGGAAGAAGAUGCUUUGUGUCUCAUUUUAAUUUAAAUCCAUGUGAUAGAUCAAGUUUUGCGUGAACUUUUUGGACAUGACUUGUUGGUCUUAGGUGUGUAGAGUCGACAGAUGAUGUAUAUUAUAUUUUCUGUGAUACGUGGUGCAGAAAUGAGGAUGUAUUUCAUUUGUAAA